CGCGUAGGCGGCGUGACAAGUCACUUGUGAAAUCUCCGGGCUUAACUCGGAACGGCCAAGUGAAACUGUCAUGCUAGAGUGCAGAAGGGGCAAUCGGAAUUCUUGGUGUAGCGGUGAAAUGCGUAGAUAUCAAGAGGAACACCUGAGGUGAAGACGGGUUGCUGGGCUGACACUGACGCUGAGGCGCGAAAGCCAGGGGAGCAAACG
rnacentral:rRNA from 1 species